rnacentral:rRNA from 1 species
AGAGUUUGAUCCUGGCUCAGAACGAACGCUGGCGGCAGGCCUAACACAUGCAAGUCAAACGGAGCCUUCGGGCUUAGUGGCGGACGGGUUAGUAACGCGUGGGAACGUACCCUUUUCUACGGAAUAGCCUUUGGAAACGAAGAGUAAUACCGUAUACGCCCUUCGGGGGAAAGAUUUAUCGGAGAAGGAUCGGCCCGCGUUAGAUUAGAUAGUUGGUGGGGUAAAGGCCUACCAAGUCUACGAUCUAUAGCUGGUUUUAGAGGAUGAUCAGCAACACUGGGACUGAGACACGGCCCAGACUCCUACGGGAGGCAGCAGUGGGGAAUCUUAGACAAUGGGCGCAAGCCUGAUCUAGCCAUGCCGCGUGAGUGAAGAAGGCCUUAGGGUCGUAAAGCUCUUUCGCCUGUGAUGAUAAUGACAGUAGCAGGUAAAGAAACCCCGGCUAACUCCGUGCCAGCAGCCGCGGUAAUACGGAGGGGGUUAGCGUUGUUCGGAAUUACUGGGCGUAAAGCGCACGUAGGCGGAUUGGAAAGUUAGAGGUGAAAUCCCAGGGCUCAACCCUGGAACUGCCUUUAAAACUCCCAGUCUUGAGUUCGAGAGAGGUGAGUGGAAUUCCAAGUGUAGAGGUGAAAUUCGUAGAUAUUUGGAGGAACACCAGUGGCGAAGGCGGCUCACUGGCUCGAUACUGACGCUGAGGUGCGAAAGUGUGGGGAGCAAACAGGAUUAGAUACCCUGGUAGUC